rnacentral:rRNA from 1 species
GAUGAACGCUGGCGGCGUGCCUAAUACAUGCAAGUCGAGCGAACGGACGAGAAGCUUGCUUCUCUGAUGUUAGCGGCGGACGGGUGAGUAACACGUGGAUAACCUACCUAUAAGACUGGGAUAACUUCGGGAAACCGGAGCUAAUACCGGAUGAUAUUUUGAACCGCAUGGUUCAAAAGUGAAAGACGGUCUUGCUGUCACUUAUAGAUGGAUCCGCGCUGCAUUAGCUAGUUGGUAAGGUAACGGCUUACCAAGGCAACGAUGCAUAGCCGACCUGAGGGGGGGAUCGGCCACACUGGAACUGAGACACGGGCCAGACUCCUACGGGAGGCAGCAGUAGGGAAUCUUCCGGAAUGGGCGAAAGCCUGACGGAGCAACGCCGCGUGAGUGAUGAAGGUCUUCCGAUCGUAAAACUCUGUUAUUAGGGAAGAACAUAUGUGUAAGUAAAUGUGCACAUCUUGACGGUACCUAAUCAGAAAGCCACGGCUAACUACGUG